rnacentral:rRNA from 1 species
GAUGAACGCUAGCGGCAGGCCUAAUACAUGCAAGUCGAACGGUGUCUUCGGACAUAGUGGCGCACGGGUGCGUAACACGUAUGCAACCUACCUUACAUUGGGGGAUAGCCUUUCGAAAGGGAGAUUAAUACCGCAUAAGACAGUAGCUGGGCAUCCAGCAGCUGGUAAAGAUUUAUCGAUGUAAGCUGGGCAUGCGUCCAAUUAGCUAGUUGGUGAGGUAACGGCCCACCAAGGCAAUGAUUGGUAGGGGAACUGAGAGGUCAAUCCCCCACACUGGCACUGAGAUACGGGCCAGACUCCUACGGGAGGCAGCAGUAGGGAAUAUUGGGCAAUGGACGCAAGUCUGACCCAGCCAUGCCGCGUGCAGGAUGAAGGCGUUAUGCGUUGUAAACUGCUUUUAUACAGGAAGAAACGACUCUUGCGAGAGGCAUUGACGGUACUGUAUGAAUAAGCACCGGCUAACUCCGUGCCAGCCGCCGCAGUAAUAC